UAAGAGCAGACAUGCUUUUGUCAUUAAAAGGGGACAGCCCAGUGGCACAUUGGUCAGCAUUGCUAUCUUGCAGUGCCGGAAUCAUGAUCUUAGUUCUCAAUCAAGGCCAAGGCGCUAUUUGUGUGAAGUUUGCAUGUUCUCACCAUACAUGUGUGGGUUUCCUCAAGGUACCCUGGCUACUUUCCAUACAUCAAACACAUACUGGCAGGGAGCGACACCUGGAGGCUGAUGCUGAUCCUUCCCAGCUGGUGACGGGGAGAACCUUAUACAUGGGGAGACCUCUCUGACAGUGUUAGACAAGUGCAGGAAGAGUCUGAGGUCACUAUGUUACAGGAGAAAGGGACUUCCCUAAGCAGAGAGCAGGGGUCUCUGAAACUCCGCUUGCGGACCACUAUGGAGCUACCAUGGCAAUGCCCGAUGUGAUGGUGCACAACCAAUAGGACCCCAUGUGAUGCCAGUGAAAAGCUUCUGGGAUGAAUGUUAGUACAAUAUUUUCAAACUCUGAAAUGACAUGAAAGAAUAGAAGACUUGUGCAGAGAGAUCCCCGGUGUCCCCCGAGAGCUGUACAUGAAGAUUGUACUUUGGGAGGGAGGCAGGUGUAACAUGUAAGUGGAAGAUAUGGGCCAAUGACUGUAUAACAUGUACAGUAUUAGAAUCCAUAGUAAUAUCACUUUAUUAUACUCUUGUUAUAUUGUAACUAUAUACUUACCCAUGGGCGAAGCCCUUGGAAUGCAGGAAUUGGAGCCCACAUACAAGUUCUGCACUGUAGAAUCUGUUGGAUAGAAAAUAAGUUAAUGUUACAUUGUUAGGAUGUGUACAUAAUGGCUGAGGAUUUCCAGCCAACACUCCCCACAUUUUCCCACAAUGUCCCCAUUUAUUUUGUUUCAAAUUUCCCAACUGCCUAAUAUAAUGUUUCUAGUGUUGUGCAUUGGUGCAAGUCACUAUAUAUUGUAUAUGGCUUAUUAGAGUUUAUGUAAGAGGAGUAUUGGGAUGUCUUCAAGAUGACGCUCACAAAGUAUCCUUCUAUAAUAACACCUGCUUUAUUUGUCAGGGUGGAAGACAAUUUACAGAAACAAUUCUAAUAAUCAGAAGGAUAAAGUGCUGUUUCUUAGGCUCACACAAUACUAACAAGAUAUUAUUCUGUGUCCUCACCUUGCACUGGUGAUGGUAAGAGGCCCAUUCCUCAUCAGAAGAUGUUCAAAGUCACCACCACUCGCAUACUCCAUACCAAGGAGCACGUGCUCCUGUUUAUGGGAGAAGCAAUAGUGUUAUUAUACAUGUCAGGAGGGAAAGAGUUGGACCGUGGGGAAUAUCAUCUUCUGACCAAAAUAAGUAGAGAUAAAUUAUAUACAUUAUUCAUUUUUAAAAAUAUCCUUCGCUUCUUUUCUCCUCAUGGGAAUAUAAUGGACAGUCAUGGGGGGGACAAGGAGAACAGAGAGAGGGCAAAGAAGAAUCUUACUAUACCACAGUCUAUGGAACAUGUUCUAUAAUCGUUUUACAGUGAGUUAGUAACACAUAACUCCAAUAAAAUGAUUAUUUUUACACCAAAAUAACAGGUAGUAAAUUGUCCUACAUGCAAACAUUAAUAGUCAUUGAUGCAUCUAAAACAAAAAAACACUGAAUAAUAAUAGAAGAGCUACAAGUGUAUUAGUUGUAUCAGCUGUUAGUAAUAGCAUUGAUCCUCAGACCAUGGAACACAUGACACAAGGCCAUUCUCACCUCCCUGCAGGAAGCAGGACAGAUGCAUGUGUACCUGAUACAGAAAUACCACUGUCUCUCUAUCUGUCCUGUCUCGCAUGGUCCAGGGUCUCAGUGUGACUGUCAGCAUUGGCGUGUGCACGGGGGGUGCCUGGUGCGCACAGGCACCCUCUAAUGUCCUCCCGCACAUCACACCUGCUACUACAGCAGCACGCACACAGACUGCGCUGCUCAUCGCUGCCUGUCACACAGUCACCGGCGCUAUCUUUCUCCACUGUGACACCCCCUCCUGUCGCGCCAGACAACCGGUCAGACAGACUCACAGACCGCCUCGCACAGCCACUUAAAUAUACUUAUUGUUGGGGAAAACUUGGUACAGAGCACAGGAGGUUUGUCACUUCAAUAAAUCAGCUGGACAGUAUGGUCCAGUUGAUUUAUUGGAGUCCCGCUCUUCUCUGUGUUCUAUCACUGCGGCACUCACAGGUCUUGUAAUCCAUAUGCAGGUUAUAUACUGGUCCUCAUCUUAGCAAGAAAUUGUGUAAGGGGCACGACUACUGGUUGGGCAUUGUGUAAGUGGCACACCUAUGAGCAUUGUGUAAGGGGCACUACUACUGUGUGGGCAUUGUGUAAGGGGCACGAGUACUGUGUGGGCAUUGUGUAAGGGGCACAACUACUGUGUGGGCAUUGUGUAAGGGGCACGAGUACUGUGUGGGCAUUGUGUAAGGGGGCACUACUACUAUGUGGGCAUUGUGUAAGGGGCACUACUACUGUGUGGGCAUUGUGUAAGGGGCAUUACUACUGUGUGGGCAUUGUGUAAGGGGCACUACUAUUGUGUGGGCAUUGUGUAAGGGGCACUACUACUGUGUGGGCAUUGUGUAAGGAGCACUACUACUGUGUGGGCAUUGUGUAAGGGGCACUACUACUGUGUGGGCAUUGUGUAAGGGGCACUACUACUGUGUGGGCAUUGUGUAAGGGGCACUACUACUAUGGGAGGUGGAGGCUGAGAGACAGAGUAAAGGGUGGGAAGCUGAAAGACACAGAAUGAAGGGUGGGAGACAAACUCACAAAGUGAGGUGGAUUGUGAGAGAUGCAUGGCAGGGAGACGUAGGCGGAAGAUGAUGGUGUGGAAGAGAGACGACACAGGGAGGUGAUAAUGGUGUGGCUGAGAGACGAUGUAGGGAGGGGAGGAGAUGGUGUGGCAGAGAGACGCAGGCGGGAGAUGAUGGUGUGACAGAGAAAUGCAGAGGGCAGUAGGUGAUACAAGUCUGGUUGAAUCUCUGUUGCAUGAGGAUGAUCUUGGUUAUAUUCCUACAC